AUAAAGUUGAAACACACGCUUCUCUGGACUACUGUGGGCCACAUUUGACAAGUUUUAGCAGUGUGGUUUUUGAUCUAAACCUGGUCUGAUUUGACAUAGUUAUGAAAAAAAAAAAACUGUGAAAUCACAUCUUUUGUGUUUUGAUAAAUAGAAAAAAAAAGGUUUCACAAAUUCGCAAACUGUGUUGUAAACACAAGUCUAAGUAUAGCCUAGUAAUUUUUACACCUGGUCUAAAUAGGAAACCCCAUCUGGUUAAGCUGUGUGUUUUGUGUAGUGACAAAUAGAAUAAAGGUUUCACAAAUUUGAAAAUCUGUGUUUUAAACAGUCUUUAGCUUCUCUGAGUGAAUGUGGUCCACAUUUGACAAGCAACGGUGGAUUUCGAUAUGGGCGACAUGUGCAGCCGCCCAGGCGUCUUGUCACGGGGCACUGUGUUUGAAGUCAUAUUAGAUCAUUCAAAUAUAACAUUUAAAAGUCUCCAAGACAACCGACUUAAGCAUGCUAGCAUUUGAUUGACUGAAAGGGCGGGGGCUAUCUGAAGGUUCACAUGAUGAGAAAAUAUCACAGUGGUACCAAAUGUCACCACGAAAAGUAAACACCCGAAUGUAAACUGAUGUUGUCCGGCCAUGUCAUUGUUAUGCCAUAUAUUAUACUAUGACGUUUUUAUGCCUUACUAUAGGCUACAACGUUUUCAUGUCUUACAAUACUGUGAUGUGACUGAGCGCCGGGGCGGAGCGCCAACAGGUGUGCCUGAUUACAGGUGGAGAGACUCUGGGUCUCAGAGACAAUAGACGGCGGGUCUGUGGCAGCCGGGUUUGGGGCACACGUUGCGGCGGUUCGGGACUCUUUGCCGUUCGCAGUUGUUUAGAGCUGCCGGGGACGAAGACAUCGAGAGCAGGAGGAUAGCUGUUCCAAUGUUAGGAGGGGAGGUCAGAUGCCUCCUGUAGAUAGUCAGGGCCGGGUUAUAGUGAGUGCUGUGGACGCCAUCGCUCCUCGUCUCCUCGGGCCCCAUUAAGCAACGGUGACGCCAGCCAAGCUCCGUCCACGCCGUCCAACGAAGCCGUUUCCCCGGGGGAGUUGGGCAGUGUCUCAAGUUCAGACCCCGGGGGAGGGGGGUCUCACCGACCGGGCGAGUGAGCCUCGAUCUCGUGCCUGAAGAACAGCAUCCCCAGCUGGCCGUGCGAGGCCUCAUUCAUGGCCUUGGACUGCAUGCACAUGCGGUACUGGUCCGGAGGGAGCUCAUCAGCGCAGUGCUUCUCAUGCCACAGGUGGAACAAGCCUCGUGACGGUGCUCGCACCACCAGGAGGUUGCUAUGAAGUUUCCCCUUAGCGACAGCAACAGGAGGAGACACAGAGAGACAAAGAGACGCUGUGUGAUACUGGAGAUAGUCCGACUGAUUCAAGGCCACACAAAAACCUUCGGGGCUGGGAAAUCGACAAGCAUCACCAUAGCAACCCCCUCAGGGAAUCUGUGGCUCAAUCCACAGUGGAUCUGACUCCUGAUCAGCCACACACAGCGAUCGUCUCCAGAGGUGUGGGUGUCGAGGUCCCUGUGAGGGGGCAACAUGAAUCAGGGACGAUCACAGGCCUGUUGUAAUUUAUCUGUGUUGGCUGGUAUAGCUCUCAGCUCCUCAGCAUGGGUGGCACACUGCUCCAUUAUUCAUCAGGCAGAUGACUGGCUAUGGCAGGACGCCGAUCCAGGAGGUGUGUGUGUGUGUGUGUUUUGUGUGUGUGUGUGUCGUGAGAGAGAGGGACAGAUUACAAAACACGAAGAAGAGAAGGGGUUUCUGGUGCAUGUGUGGAAAUAGCUAAAAUGUUUUCACAGCACUCUUGACAGCGAGUGCGUGACUGUGUCAGUCUUCAUUUCAUUACGUAAAUUGCAUUUCAUAUUCUGCGUUUGGCCUCUAA